rnacentral:rRNA from 1 species
GUGUUGCAUGGCUGUCGUCAGCUCGUGUCGUGAGAUGUUGGGUUAAGUCCCGCAACGAGCGCAACCCUCAUCCUUAGUUACCAUCAGGUAAUGCUGGGGACUUUAAGGAAACUGCCAGUGAUAAACUGGAGGAAGGUGGGGAUGAUGUCAAGUCAUCAUGGCCCUUAUGGAGUGGGCUACACACGUGCUACAAUGGUGGCUACAAUGGGCUGCAAAGUCGCGAGGCUAAGCUAAUCCCUUAAAAGCCAUCUCAGUUCGGAUUGUACUCUGCAACUCGAGUGCAUGAAGUUGGAAUCGCUAGUAAUCGUGGAUCAGCAUGCCACGGUGAAUACGUUCUCGGAUCUUGUACACACUGCCCAUCACGCCAUGGGAAUUGGUUUC